CCUACGGUGGCUGCAGUGGGGAAUAUUGGACAAUGGGCGAAAGCCUGAUCCAGCCAUGCCGCGUGUGUGAAGAAGGCCUUCGGGUUGUAAAGCACUUUCAGUGGGGAAGAAAGCCUUGGGGCUAAUACCCUCGAGGAAGGACAUCACCCACAGAAGAAGCACCGGCUAACUUCGUGCCAGCAGCCGCGGUAAUACGGAGGGUGCGAGCGUUAAUCGGAAUUACUGGGCGUAAAGCGCGCGUAGGCGGUCUGAUAAGCCGGUUGUGAAAGCCCCGGGCUCAACCUGGGAACGGCAUCCGGAACUGUCAGGCUAGAGUGCAGGAGAGGAAGGUAGAAUUCCCGGUGUAGCGGUGAAAUGCGUAGAGAUCGGGAGGAAUACCAGUGGCGAAGGCGGCCUUCUGGACUGACACUGACGCUGAGGUGCGAAAGCGUGGGUAGCAAACAGGAUUAGAUACCCCGGUAGUC
rnacentral:rRNA from 1 species